CAGUAAGAACUCACUGCCUCUUGUAUCUUGUCCUCACGGUCGUGAUCGUGCCGUGGAGCCUGGUGAAGCCGUUCACCGUCUUGCCCGACGGCCGAUGGCGCCGGCCGGUUGCUUGCCAUUGCCAACACGCGCGGCGCGCACGCGAACUCCCCCACGGGCGGCUGCCUCUGUGGCGCCUCGCCGCAUCCUACGUCCCGCCGCCGGUCGCUUGUGGUUGCCGAACAGGUCGCUGCCUCUGCUAAAUAAUAUCCCUCACCCCUCCUCUGUUCCCCGUCCAUCCAGCCGCAUAGGGUGCGUUCGAAACCCUAGAUCAGCCGCACCCGUUCCCCUACCUUAUCGAAGUCGAAGAGCGAGCGUUAGGAGGCAGACGCUGCAAUUUCGGGCUUAGACGAGUGCCUCUCCGGCCGGAGUACCUCCUCCUGGGAAGCUCGGAAGACCUCGGGGAGCAGCAGAUGGAAAUCAAGCGUACUGACGAGGAGUGGAGGUCCUUCAAUGAUUGGGGCAAAUAUUCUGAUGUGAAGAUUGCACCGUCGGCUAAUUGUCAAGUAUAUGGGUAUCGAUCUGAUCGAGAGAUUUAUAUGGUGAUGUAUUCCCGAUCCCCUUUUGAUCGAUCUUCCUUGCGGGCUCAUGUUGUGAAUUUCUCAAUGCUGCCGGCCUAUCUGUUUGUUUGCGUCCUCAAGCCCGCGCGGGCUGCCGUUUCCAUCUUUGCUAGUAUUGUUUUGUUUCUCUUCGCGGUCAUUACGCGAACUGCUAUAUGAUGCUACAGUAUUUUCUUGCCUCAACGCACCCGAAUUUUUCAUCCACCCAAUCUUCACCCUCUUCAACACUGGCGAGGCGAGAUCCGCCCCCGUCUUCGAGAUUUAUCUUGUCUAGUCCAGUGAGUUAGAGCAUCUCCAGCAGAUUAUCUAUCCUCUAUCACCAAUAUAUUUUCUCUUUCCCUCACUAAUAACAUUUUUUUGUGUUUUUGUAACUAGUGCUACGGCAGAUUACUAAAACACCGCGUACCCAUGCAUGCAUAAGGUAGAGGGAUGAAUUCCUUUUAUUUGGGUGAGAGGGAGGUGUGUUUUAGUAAUCACUAGGGAUCGGAUUGGUAAUCCGCUGCAGCACCUCUUAUCACCAAAAUGAUAGUUUUUUAUAUUGGGGAGAAGGAUGUGUAAUCUGCUAGAGAUGCUUUUAGGGUUAGGGAUUUAGCAGUUGGGGUUAGGAGUGGGGUUUUGAGAUAUCAGGAUUAGAAGAAAGCCUAGGAGGAAGGCCGGCCCGUCGGUGGAGGCGGUUAUGGGUGAGGACGUAAGGGCACCGCGGUGGUGAGAACUGUUGAUAAAAUUUUGAUGUAGAUUUUAGAGCUGAAAAUUCAAGUGUACGAGGGGAUAAACUACCUGGGUACAGAGUGGACAUCCCCUCAACAAACAUGAUUCAUAUCUUUAUAAUUGUUGCUUCAAAAGAAUUAAAGGUUCUUCAAAGGAUUAAUGAUUCUUUUUUUUUCCUUGUGUUGUUACUUAUUUCAAUCAAAAGAUCUGUUGGCAAAAGCAUGGGGAUGGGAAAUGCUGCUGCCAUACGAGGGUUCCGUUGAGUGGUCUGGCUAUUGCAACUACCUUUUUUUUUCUCGAACAACGUAGGAGGGCUGCUUGUCAUUUCAUUAAGAGAGAAUAGAAAGUACAAAGAGAAGGGGAGAACCCCAAACUAAGUACAAAACACACCCCAACACUCACAAAUCACAAAACACAACACACACCACCCACCAAAAGACUACCACAUGAGCGCCAGGCAAAACAUGAAAACGAGACCCUGAACACCAAGCCUAAGCAGCUGGUGCAACUACCUUCAGCAGUAUUACAAGGAAAAUUGCAGUGUUAUUGUUGAAGUUACUGGCAGCAACUUGGUUGAUGCGGCUGAAACUGUAAGUAUCUAACUGUGCCCCUCUUGUGAACCAUCAGUUGAAGCCUGCUCCUAACUUUUAUUUGCUUGUCUUGUUUGCUAUGUUAAACUGGCUGUCAAGUAGUGUCUCAAGAAAGAGAAUGAACUUGUGUCUUUGUGGGAUAGUAAAUUGAAAGAAUGCACGGAUGACAUCUUACCCAGAAACACUUUCAUUCUGAGUAGCCUGAUCCAGGAGUUUGCGGGCAAAGUCAAACGAACAGGAGAGGGAAUUUCUGAUGCUUCCACUGCAGCUUUGUUGGUCUGGCCUUAACAGACCAAACAAAUCACUUGUGAUAUUUGACCACAGAAAUGCUAUUCCUCUCUCUGCAUUCUAAUGACCAAAUUAAAUGUGUUCUCGCACAGACAAUUAAGCUAAGUAGAAAUGCUAUUCCUCUCUCUGCAUUCUAACUGCAUUCUAUUUGGAACUAUUUCAAUAUCUCUGCCCAGUUGUCACCAUGACAUAGAAACUAUUUGUACUUGUAACAAGAUAAAUGUUCUCUUCCAUGCAAUCUUGAAAAUACUACUGGGUCCUCAUAAUUCAGGUAGCUGUACAAACUACAAAUUGGUGUGAACUACCACAACAUGACCAAGGAUUCCUGUCUUACCACCACAGUUUACAUUUUAUCUGAUUUCAAGUCGUUGACUUUUGUACAUCUUGUGACCAAGUUGAGUCUUUUUAGCGCAACACAGGGAGCAUAUGUAAACCUGUCUACCUAGCACUAAAAACGGUUCCCUUGAUCUAUCUGACAUUUGGCUUUCUGUUAUUAACAACACUCCCAAACAUUUAAUUUGUAUUGUAUGAGUGGUUGCUAGAGCACGGCCUGUGCCUUGCAUACUUACUGACUCACCAUCACAACGUUCAGUAAAGUAUAUUGGCUCCUUGGGUAGCAUUUUGAUUGUGUUAUUUAAUUUUUUUAUGAUACACGUAAAACAAUCAAUUCUAGUGUAUCACCAAGGAGGCUAACCUGAUCUGUGAGGUGCUGAGUCGUGGUGCCAAGCCCAUGGUUUACUUAAUCAUCCAGAGCACUGAGAUCCGCAUGUGCACUUUAAGUCUUAUGUACCACCAAUUAUAUGGAGUUGCUGCCGCUGCUGCUAUGGUGGGAAUCAUGAAGGAGACCGAUAAAAUAUGUGACUGGAUGAGCAAAAACAAUAAGCCUUUUGACCCGUUUGACAUGGACUUGGAUAACGAUUUCGAGUUGGGUCGCCAAGUUCGGUUCAGAACCCUGCACUUAAUGAUCAGCAUACUGGAAAAGUCUCCAUUUUCUGUUCCUGCUGCUGCUGGGCACAAAGUUGUUAAGGAAAAAUCUUUUAGUGGAAAUGUUCCUAGUAAUGAUGAGAAUAAUAUUACUCGUGCUGAAGCAGCAAACACUACAGGGGACAACUUACAAGAUCAGGAAAAGAUAACUGUUGCAGAUAUUAGUAAGAAGAGGAGGAUGGAAGAUACGAACAAAGAAGAAAAAUGACCAAGGCACACCCCUUGUGAACUUUUGUGGAGCGAUGAAAUUAGAUUGCAAAAUUCUGCUGCCAAAGUGGAAGAAAGCUAAUCAAGACGGGAGGCAACCUUGGGCUUGGAGACGAUCAUGGAGUCCCUCUUCGGCAGGAGUACCUCCUCAUGGGGAGCUCAGAAGACAUCAGGGAAAACCAGAUGGGAAUCUGGACCGACGAGGAUAGGAUGGCCUUUGAUUCUUCGUUCGAAGAUUUGGAAGAGGGCGAUGGUGCAAUGGCGGUUAGGACUGUCAAGUUCGUAGUAUUACAAGCGCAAUGCCAGUUUUGUUGCUGAACUUACUAGCAGCUUGGUUGCUUCGGCCGAAGUUUGUAUCAAGAAGGAGGAGGAACUUGUGUCUUUGUGGAAGGCUCGGGUGGUGCAUUUCCCGGAUGAGAUCUUGCCUGUCAACACUAUCAUUCGGAGUAACCUGGAGCGUGCACAUUCAAUCAUAUGUGCUGCAGGGGGCAAACAUUCUGUUGCUUCCACUGUUGCUUUUGCGUGUAUUACCAAGGAGGCUGACCUGAUGUGCGAGCUUUUGAAGCAUGGUGCUGGUCCUACUGAUGACAUCAUCCAGCAGAGCAGCGUGAUCCGCAUGUGCGCCUUGAGCCUUGUGCACCUACAAGGGUUCCAUGCCUUUGAUGCCGCCGCCACCAUGGUGGGCAUCACAAAAGAGUGCAAAUUGAUGUGUGAUUGGAUAAGAAAAGAGGACAAGCUUAUCACCUUCGGCAUCUUCCCACGUCAUGAGCUUUUGGAAUGCCGCUUGAUCCGCAUCAGAACCUUGGACGUUAUGCUCACAUACUGAAAGGGUCUUCCUUUCCUUCUUCCAAGAUGUGGCGUGAUCUAAUGGCUAAUAACUAGAAACAAUGAUGGUGGCCAGCUCCAUGGAUGAAACUUCUUUAUGCUGACAAAAAGGUUUUGGACUUUUCGCGCAUGGAUGGCCAGCUCCAUGGAUGGCCAGCAAAGGGAGGAGGGAGCGUGGUAGCUAAGGUUUUGGACUUUUGGAGCAUGGAGAGAAGAACAAGUCGACCACCAAGAAUAAAAUAUGAGCCUAUAUCCUCCAUUGCAAGAACUAACAAAGUGAUAAAAUUGGUUGGUUUCAAGCGAACUCAAAACCAAGCAGUAGAUGAAAUUGAUGAACAAAUAUAAUAAUCACUUCUGGAACUUUUCAUUCAAAAA